rnacentral:rRNA from 1 species
UUGAACGCUGGCGGCAUGCUUUACACAUGCAAGUCGAACGGCAGCGCGGGCUUCGGCCUGGCGGCGAGUGGCGAACGGGUGAGUAAUGCAUCGGAACGUGCCCAGUAGUGGGGGAUAGCCCGGCGAAAGCCGGAUUAAUACCGCAUACGACCUGAGGGUGAAAGCGGGGGACCGAAAGGCCUCGCGCUAUUGGAGCGGCCCGAUGUCGGAUUAGCUAGUUGGUGGGGUAAGGGCUUACCAAGGCGACGGUCCGUAGCUG